AUUGAACGCUGGCGGCAGGCUUAACACAUGCAAGUCGAGCGAGCGGCGGACGGGUGAGUAAUGCCUGGGAAUCUGGCUUAUGGAGGGGGAUAACGACGGGAAACUGUAGCUAAUACCGCGUACCAUCGGAUGUGCCCAGCUGGGAGUAGGUAGUUGGUGGGGUAAUGGCGCACCUAGGCGACGAUCCCUAGCUGGUCUGAGAGGAUGACCAGCCACACCGGAACUGAGACACGGCCCGGACGCCUACGGGAGGCAGCAGUGGGGAAUAUUGCACAAUGGGGGCAACCCUGACACAGCCAUGCCGCGUGUGUGAAGAAGGCCUUCGGGUUGUAAAGUACUUUCAGUGAGGAGGCGUUAAUCACAGAAGAAGCACCGGCUAACUCCGUGCCAGCAGCCGCGGUAAUAC
rnacentral:rRNA from 1 species